rnacentral:misc_RNA from 1 species
GGGCCGACAGAACCGCACUCCAACCAUUGUUAUUGUAUGGUCGAUCCUUCUCGCCUCCAUCUUUUCCUUGCUGUGGGUUAGGAUCGAUCCCUUCACUUCUGCGUCGCAGAAGGCUUCAGCAGCAGGUCAGUGCGGUAUUAACUGUUGAUGGUCGCUUUCGUGAUGAAAUGAUGGUCCUCUGAGUUCGCAUGAACAGCAAGAGAUCGUCGGAGAUUGCC